UACAGUGCUCCAACUGAUGCAAAGGGGGGAAGGCGGGCAGUGAGCGUAAAGGCACUGACAGUUGAAAGCGCGUCUAGCAACGACGACCUGGAUAGCGCACACGUUUGGACGUUGAUUUCGGGAAGAAAAAACGGUUUGGAACCACCCAUACGCCGCACGUUUCGAUGGGGCAACGUAGACGUUGCCAUGGAAGUGGAUAUGGGUUCCCCGGUGUGCGUCGUAUCGCGCCAAGUGUACGAUCGACACCACGCACAGUGGCCGCGCUUACAACCACCACGAAUCAAGCUGUCAUGUUACGCGGGACAGCUUCCGGUGUUGCGGGAACUCGAACUCCCAGUGAAGUAUAAAGGUGUAUCUGUGCCUUGCCCGCUCAUCGUGCUUGACUGUGCAGGACCCAGCCUAUGUGGCCGCGACCUCAUUGCUUUGCUUAGAAAAACGGGCGUUCCCAUUGGAGACCUGACUGAGCGGGACCCUACAGCAAGCGCCGAGCCAAGCGACCCUAUGCUGAACCGACUGCUCGGCGAGUUCGAGGAUGUUUUCUCAACAGUCCUUGGACUGAUCAAGGGUCCACCAGCCAGCCUAAAACUCAAGGAGACAGCGACACCGAAAUUCUGAGUACGGUGACGGGGUCGAUGCAGAGGCCAUCUUUCAGUGCUGGCUGGAACGGUGCUGGAGCGUCAUGCAGGAGAACGGGGCGUUGUCCGGAUCGGCUGCUGCCGACAGCGUCGAAGGGCUCGACAUGGUAUGCAGCAGCGAGCACCUGCACAAUAAAUGGGAAGGGCGUGAACAGAUACCACAUGUCGGCACAACUGUCAAGCCCACCUUUACACAAGAAUUCUUUCUUGUGUAAUGGUUUCUAGUGUCAUCUUCCCAGUAUGGUGCAUGAGCUUUUACAGCUUGGGGUAAAGCCCGAAGGGAGGAAACGUGUCUCCCGGACUUUUGGAUGCCCUGCUGUCCGAGGACCACCUGCUGUAUGAAAAUGAAGCACCACCUUCUGACAAAAUCACGCUACCUGUCGAAGCAGCUGACGUUGUGACUGACCAUGCUGACUACUUCGAAGAACACAGUGAUGACCUCCUGGCCUAUUAUAUUGCACUAUAUGUUGCGAGGAAGCGGGUCCUUUCAGCUUAUUGCAACGCUUGCAAGGAUGCUUAACUAAUUAGCACGUGAUAGUUUAUCCCACCAAUUGCUGGCAGAAGUGUGCAAAAAGUGGGACAUGCAUGAGGGUCCUUCCUUUACCCUGAGUCCACCUAUACAGUUUAAUCAAAACCCUUGAGGAUAGGCUAACUCGUGCAUUUAGCACCACACGACUGCCCACCAACUGUAGUGAAGGAUGUUUUGAGCCUAGCAGCCAACGUUCCACAUAUUGGCUGCCCGGGGCAAUCAGCUCCUUUAACAUGAUCGGUUGUCAAGUUCUACUGUGCUACGGCGUGUCGGGAUAAACUAGCAUGCUACGCAGAAUAAAGCGAAGAAGGUGAAGCUCUGUGUUAUGUAAUGUUUUCAUGAACUGUUUCCAAUAAACAUGUAUGAAGCCACCAGU
rnacentral:misc_RNA from 1 species